rnacentral:misc_RNA from 1 species
AAGGAUCAUUACCCGAGUGCGGGGCCCUCUGGGUCCAACCUCCCAUCCGUGUCUAUCUGUACCCUGUUGCUUCGGCGUGGCCACGGCCCGCCGGAGACUAACAUUUGAACGCUGUCUGAAGUUUGCAGUCUGAGUUUUUAGUUAAACAAUCGUUAAAACUUUCAACAACGGAUCUCUUGGUUCCGGCAUCGAUGAAGAACGCAGCGAAAUGCGAUAAUUAAUGUGAAUUGCAGAAUUCAGUGAAUCAUCGAGUCUUUGAACGCACAUUGCGCCCCCUGGUAUUCCGGGGGGCAUGCCUGUCCGAGCGUCAUUGCUGCCCUCAAGCACGGCUUGUGUGUUGGGCUUCCGUCCCUGGCAACGGGGACGGGCCCAAAAGGCAGUGGCGGCACCAUGUCUGGUCCUCGAGCGUAUGGGGCUUUGUCACCCGCUCCCGUAGGUCCAGCUGGCAGCUAGCCUCGCAACCAAUCUUUUUAACCAGGUUGACCUCGGAUCAGGUAGGGAUACCCGCUGAACUUAAGCAUAUCAAUAAGCGGAGGAA